AAACCAACUGGGAUUGCCUUAGUAACGGCGAGUGAAGCGGCAAAAGCUCAAAUUUGAAAUCCCCUUGUGGGAGUUGUAAUUUGUAGGUUGGGGAGCACGCAGAAACCAAAAGAAAAAGUCCCUUGGAACAGGGCGCCUUGGAGGGUGAGAGCCCCGUAUUUCUGGCAGUUUUUGUUUUUCCCUUUCCAAAGAGUCGAGUUGUUUGGGAAUGCAGCUCAAAGUGGGUGGUAAAUUCCAUCUAAAGCUAAAUAUUGGCGAGAGACCGAUAGCGAACAAGUACCGUGAGGGAAAGAUGAAAAGCACUUUGAAAAGAGAGUGAAACAGUACGUGAAAUUGUUGAAAGGGAAGGGCUUGCAAGCAGACACAUUUUUUUGGGCCAGCAUCAAAUAGGAGGGAUGGAAAAACGGAAAGGAAUGUAGCUUUUUCUUUAAAGUGUUAUAUCCUUUUCGCAUACAUCCUCUCUUGUUUGAGGCCUGCUUUUUUUAUAGGAUGCUGGCGUAAUGGUUGCAAGCCGC
rnacentral:rRNA from 2 species